rnacentral:rRNA from 1 species
AAAGACUCCGCAUUGCGAAGUUCACUCAGAGUUCCCUCGUCACCUUUUCAGGCAUUGCGAAGGUU